GACGAACGCUGGCGGCGUGCUUAACACAUGCAAGUCGAACGGAAAGGCCCUGCUUUUGUUGGUUUCUCGAUUGGCGAACGGGUGAGUAACACGUGAGUAACCUGCCCUUGACUUUGGGAUAACUUUAGGAAACUGGGGCUAAUACCGGAUAGGAUCUCCUGCUGCAUGGUGGGGGUUGGAAAGUUUCGGCGGUUGGGGAUGGUCUCGCGGCUUAUCAGCUUGUUGGUGGGGUAGUGGCUUACCAAGGAUUUGACGGGUAGCCGGCCUGAGAGGGUGACCGGCCACAUUGGGACUGAGAUACGGCCCAGACUCCUACGGGAGGCAGAAGUGGGGAAUAUUGCAAAAUGGGCGGAAGCCUGAUGCAGCAACGCCGCGUGCGGGAUGACGGCCUUCGGGUUGUAAACCGCUUUCGCCUGUGACGAAGCGUGAGUGACGGUAAUGGGUAAAGAAGCACCGGCUAACUACGUG
rnacentral:rRNA from 1 species